rnacentral:rRNA from 1 species
CACGUAGGGUGCGAGCGUUGUCCGGAAUUAUUGGGCGUAAAGAGCUCGUAGGCGGUGUGUCGCGUCGGCCGUGAAAACCUGCAGCUUAACUGUGGGCUUGCGGUCGAUACGGGCAUCACUGGAGUUCGGCAGGGGAGACUGGAAUUCCUGGUGUAGCGGUGAAAUGCGCAGAUAUCAGGAGGAACACCGGUGGCGAAGGCGGCGAUCUGGGUCGAUACUGACGCUGAGGUGCGAAAGCGUGGGGAGCAAACAGG